rnacentral:rRNA from 1 species
UACGGGGGGGGCAAGCGUUGUUCGGAAUUACUGGGCGUAAAGGGCGCGUAGGCGGCCUGCUAAGUCACACGUGAAAUCCCUGGGCUCAACCCAGGAACUGCGUCCAAGACUGGGAGGCUUGAAUCCGGGAGAGGGAUGCGGAAUUCCAGGUGUAGCGGUGAAAUGCGUAGAUAUCUGGAGGAACACCGGUGGCGAAGGCGGCAUCCUGGACCGGUAUUGACACUGAGGCGCGAAAGCCAGGGGAGCAAACGGG